rnacentral:rRNA from 1 species
AGAGUUUGAUCCUGGCUCAGGAUGAACGCUAGCUACAGGCUUAACACAUGCAAGUCGAGGGGCAGCAUGGUCUUAGCUUGCUAAGGCCGAUGGCGACCGGCGCACGGGUGAGUAACACGUAUCCAACCUGCCGUCUACUCUUGGACAGCCUUCUGAAAGGAAGAUUAAUACAAGAUGGCAUCAUGAGUCCGCAUGUUCACAUGAUUAAAGGUAUUCCGGUAGACGAUGGGGAUGCGUUCCAUUAGAUAGUAGGCGGGGUAACGGCCCACCUAGUCUUCGAUGGAUAGGGGUUCUGAGAGGAAGGUCCCCCACAUUGGAACUGAGACACGGUCCAAACUCCUACGGGAGGCAGCAGUGAGGAAUAUUGGUCAAUGGACGAGAGUCUGAACCAGCCAAGUAGCGUGAAGGAUGACUGCCCUAUGGGUUGUAAACUUCUUUUAUACGGGAAUAAAGUGAGCCACGUGUGGCUUUUUGUAUGUACCGUAUGAAUAAGGAUCGGCUAACUCCGUGCCAGCAGCCGCGGUAAUACGGAGGAUCCGAGCGUUAUCCGGAUUUAUUGGGUUUAAAGGGAGCGUAGGCGGGUUGUUAAGUCAGUUGUGAAAGUUUGCGGCUCAACCGUAAAAUUGCAGUUGAUACUGGCGACCUUGAGUGCAACAGAGGUAGGCGGAAUUCGUGGUGUAGCGGUGAAAUGCUUAGAUAUCACGAAGAACUCCGAUUGCGAAGGCAGCUUACUGGAUUGUAACUGACGCUGAUGCUCGAAAGUGUGGGUAUCAAACAGGAUUAGAUACCCUGGUAGUCCACACAGUAAACGAUGAAUACUCGCUGUUGGCGAUAUACAGUCAGCGGCCAAGCGAAAGCAUUAAGUAUUCCACCUGGGGAGUACGCCGGCAACGGUGAAACUCAAAGGAAUUGACGGGGGCCCGCACAAGCGGAGGAACAUGUGGUUUAAUUCGAUGAUACGCGAGGAACCUUACCCGGGCUUAAAUUGCAACUGACGGAACCGGAAACGGUUCUUUCUUCGGACAGUUGUGAAGGUGCUGCAUGGUUGUCGUCAGCUCGUGCCGUGAGGUGUCGGCUUAAGUGCCAUAACGAGCGCAACCCUUAUCUUUAGUUACUAACAGGUCAUGCUGAGGACUCUGGAGAGACUGCCGUCGUAAGAUGUGAGGAAGGUGGGGAUGACGUCAAAUCAGCACGGCCC